rnacentral:rRNA from 1 species
UGGAGAGGAAUAUUGGCACAAUGGGGGAAACCCUGAUGCAGCAACGCCGCGUGAAGGAAGAAGGUUGCGGAUCGUAAACUUCUAUCAGCAAGGAAGAAAUGAGGGUACUUGACUAAGAAGCCCCGGCUAACUACGUGCCAGCAGCCGCGGUAAUACGUAUUCUGCAAGCGUUAUCCGGAAUUACUGGGUGUAAAGGGUGCGUAGACGGCACUGACAGUCAGAUGUGAAAGCCCAAGGCUCAACCUUGGGAUUGCAUUUGAAACUACAGAGCUAGAGUACAGGAGAGGAAAGUGGAAUUCCUAGUGUAGCGGUCGGAAUGCGUACAUAUUUGGGAGGAACACCAGUGGGCGAAGGGCGACUUUUCUGGGACUGUAACUGACGUUUGAGGCACGAAAAGCUUGGGGAGCAAACAGGGAUUAGAUUACCCUGGUAGUCCCAUGCCGGUAAAACGAUGAAUACUAGGGGGUUUGG